rnacentral:rRNA from 1 species
AUUGAACGCUGGCGGCAGGUCUAACACAUGCAAGUCGAGCGGAGCGGCGGACGGGUGAGUAAUGCCUAGGAAUCUGCCUGGUAGUGGGGGAUAACGUCCGGAAACGGGCGCUAAUACCGCAUACUAUCAGAUGAGCCUAGGUCGGAUUAGCUAUUUGGUGGGGUAAAGGCCUACCAGGGCGACGAUCCGUAACUGGUCUGAGAGGAUGUUCAGUCACACUGGAACUGCGACACGGGCCAGACUCCUACGGGAGGCAGCAGUGGGGAUUAUUGUACAAUGGGCGAAAGCCUGAUCCAGCCAGGCCGCGUGUUGGAAGAAGGUCUUCGGAUUGUAAAGCACUUUUAGUUGGGCGUCGUGACCAACAGAAUACGCCCCGGCUAACUUCGUGCCAGCAGCCGCGGUAAUUC